GCAAGUCGAACGGUAACAGGCCGCAAGGUGCUGACGAGUGGCGAACGGGUGAGUAAUGCAUCGGAACGUGCCCAGAGGUGGGGGAUAACGCAGCGAAAGCUGGGCUAAUACCGCAUACGAUCUGUGGAUGAAAGCGGGGGACUAAACAGCAAUGUUUGGCCUCGCGCCUUUGGAGCGGCCGAUGUCAGAUUAGGUAGUUGGUGGGGUAAAGGCUCACCAAGCCAACGAUCUGUAGCUGGUCUGAGAGGACGACC
rnacentral:rRNA from 1 species